UACGUAGGUGGCGAGCGUUGUCCGGAUUUACUGGGCGUAAAGGAUGCGUAGGUGGAUGUUUAAGUCAGAUGUGAAAUACCCGAGCUUAACUUGGGAAUGGCAUUCGGGACUGCAAGGCUGGAGUGCGGCAGAGGAGACUGGAAUUCCUGGUGUAGCAGUGAAAUGCGUAGAUAUCAGGAGGAACACCGAUGGCGAAGGCAGGUCUCUGGGCUGACACUGACGCUCAUGCACGAAAGCGUGGGGAGCAAACAGG
rnacentral:rRNA from 1 species